rnacentral:rRNA from 1 species
UGUAGCCUGAUCUGGGCGCAGUCUGAUGCAGCCAUGCCGCGUGAGUGAUGAAGGCCUUAUGGUUGUAAAGCUCUUUUUAUAGGGAAGAAAAUGACGGUACGUGUAUGGGAAUGCCCGGACCGUUCCAUGACAGAACGCCCGACUUUAUGCCAUCCCCCGCGGUAAUAUAAUAA